AUCCCUGUAGAGAAUUGGAUAGCACGUUGGACUGCUAAUCCGAAGGUCAUGGGUUCGAGUCCUAUCUGGGAUG